GCAGUCGAAGGACUUACAUUGAAGCCUAGCGAUAUGUAAGUUAGUGGCGGACGGGUGAGUAACGCGUGGGUAACCUGCCUUGUACUGGGGGACAACAGUUGGAAACGACUGCUAAUACCGCAUAAGCGCACAGCUUCGCAUGAAGCAGUGUGAAAAACUCCGGUGGUACGAGAUGGACCCGCGUCUGAUUAGCUGGUUGGUGAGGUAACGGCCCACCAAGGCGACGAUCAGUAGCCGGCCUGAGAGGGUGAACGGCCACAUUGGGACUGAGACACGGCCCAAACUCCUACGGGAGGCAGCAGUGGGGAAUAUUGCACAAUGGGGGAAACCCUGAUGCAGCAACGCCGCGUGAGUGAAGAAGUAUUUCGGUAUGUAAAGCUCUAUCAACAGGAAAGAAAAUGA
rnacentral:rRNA from 1 species